CGACCUAAACAAGAUAACUGGUCUUCACACGCACUUGAGCUCGCUGUUUCUACUGGGCAGGGAGAGGCGGGAGCAUAGUCACUUGGUACUGGAGCGGAAGGUAAUCAGGUCGCAUUGGCCUCAGGUCAGAUGAUCCUCAAGGCAGAUCGGCCUGAGUGUAAAUAAGCCGCAGGACGUUUGGUUCUCGAAACACUUGGUACUCAAACCACUUGGUCUCUAAAAUGUCUCAGAGUGAUUGGUAAUUAGGGAAAAGUGUACCAAGUGGGAGUCAAACGGUUAAACAUCAAUUAUACAGCUUUGUGACUCGUCUCUGAUCGCCGCCACACACACACACACAGACACACUCAGGCAGGUGAAGCGGGUGGAAGUGCAUUGUUAUUACCUCCAUGCGCCACGGUAUCCAUAGCGCCCCUCCAAGCCUUGCCCCUCCAAGCCUUGCCCCUAGACUCGGGUGUGUAGGAGGAAGAGGAGGAGGAGGGGCAAGGAGGAGUAUGGGUACCAUUCGCCCCAGUACCAAGUGACUGCAAACCAAGAGAGCCGGGGUUGGUGGCGCGGCCCUGUAAUCCGGCGACGCGGAGGCUUGGCCCAGUGGACGGCUUGAGGCGAGGGUGGCUGCUGCGGGACUCCCCAUGUUGAGUGGGCGUCCGCACUAAGCUCGGCAUCAAUAUGGCCGCCCCUGGGGAGCCGGGGGCGUCCAGGUUGCCUAAGGAGGUGUGAACCAGGCCAGGGGGGAAACCCAGCAGCCAAAAGCACCCGUGUGGAGCAGCAGUGGGAUCGCGCCCGUGAGUGGGCGGCGCGCAGUAGCCUUGCCAACACAGGCGAACCUGGUACUUUUAUUUUA